CCUACGGGAGGCAGCAGUGGGGAAUAUUGCACAAUGGGGGAAACCCUGAUGCAGCGACGCCGCGUGAGCGAAGAAGUAUUUCGGUAUGGAAAGCUCUAUCAGCAGGGAAGAAAAUGACGGUACCUGAGUAAGAAGCUCCGGCUAAAUACGUGCCCGCAGCCGCGGUAAUACGUAUGGAGCAAGCGUUAGCCGGAUUUACUGGGCGUAAAGGGAGCGUAAGCGGCCUGCCAAGUCUGAUGUGAAAUCCCGGGGCUCAACCCCGGGGCUGCAUUGGAAACUGGCAGGCUAGAGUGCCGGAGAGGCAGGCGGAAUUCCUAGUGUAGCGGUGAAAUGCGUAGAUAUUAGGAGGAACCCCAGUGGCGAAGGCGGCAUGCUGGACGGUGACUGACGCUGAGGCUCGAAAGCGUGGGGAGCAAACAGGAUUAGAUACCCCUGUAGUC
rnacentral:rRNA from 1 species